GAACCUAUCUGUGAGGGGGAUAUGGGUUUUUCUGCAGGAAACCAUAAACUCUACAUGUUAGACUAUGGCACGGAUCUAGAAGGGGGGAGGGGUUGAAUAGAUCCCAAUUAAAAACUUGAGUCGGCGCUACCAAUUGAAAAUUGGUUUUGAAAAUUAGUUUUGAGUGCGGAAGCAGCCGAGGAAAAUUUUAGUCUAAAACAAACCGUUAUUGGAAAACCGGAUAUGCGUUAAGCUAAUGGAUUAGAGAUAAAGUGAAAUGCAAAUCACUACACCAAUUCCACAAUCAAUUAUAUGUUUCACUUACUAGGAUUCCUAGUUCCAAUGAUCCAAAUACCAAAUUAAACAAGAUGCAAACUUAAGACAAC
rnacentral:lncRNA from 1 species